rnacentral:lncRNA from 1 species
GUUUUCUGGGGCAUGCUGGGAAGGCUCCCAGGACUGUUUAUCCCGCUCCUGAGGGUGGGGAGGUACCCCCAGGCGCAGGCAUACAGUACAGUGGGGUCAACAUCUAGCUGACCUAAUUAAAAGCUCAUUACACCAGCCCAUCCCCAUUAACAGGCUGACCCACGGUGCAAAUCCAUUAACGCAGGAGUCUUCCCUGCUUCCCAAACCAGGAGUCCCAGCCACAGCCCGGGGGCCCUGGAAACUCCAGCAAGUUUAUUAAAGUGCCUUCCCCGCCUGUGACCAUCAGGCAAAGGGAGAAUCUUGCCGGGAAUCUCACUUCUAGCCAAUGAAGAAUUUUCAGAAAAGCGAAACGGAAGGCAUCAUUUUGGCAUCUCUGCAGAUCUGUAUUCUGAAAGGAAUUCCUUUGGCAUCAAUGGAGAGCCUAACUAAGAGUGACUUAAACUAUUUUACUUACAAGUAUCCAUCUGGAGAAAGUUCUAAACACCUUGUCCCUCUGAAUGUGCUCAGCUUUGCCUGUGCCAUCACCGAGCAGUCAGAAUCACACUGCAGCUUCCAGGACAAAGAAAAGUCCAGAUAGAGAGAGGAUCCAUCUGAAUAGCAUCUCUGUUUGGCUUCCAUGGCCAGAUAUUC